AGGGUUGUAGCUCAAUGGUGGAGCCAUCUGCUUUGCAUGCAGAAGGUCCCAAGUUUAAUCCCUGGCAUCUCCA